rnacentral:rRNA from 1 species
UGUCGUAACAAGGUUUCCGUAGGUGAACCUGCGGAAGGAUCAUUCGCACGUAUCCAACCAAACAUCUGUGAACGAUUCCCUGUGAAGCUCCUUCGGGAGCUUCAAGGGCAAGGGCGCAAGGAUGAGGCUGCGGCAGUUGUCCUUGUGCCUUGUCAGGUCAUCUGAUUAACCUUGUGUUAAACCUUUAUUGAUCGCAUUGGCUUGCCAAUGUAUUCGUUCUAACAACUUUCAGCGACGGAUGUCUCGGCUCGAACAACGAUGAAGGGCGCAGCGAAGUGUGAUAAACAUUGUGAAUUGCAGAAUUCCGUGAACCAACAGGUACUUGAACGCAUACUGCGCUUUCGGGAUAUCCCUGAAAGCAUGCCUGCUUCAGUGUCUACUCAUUCUCAUUCACAUCCGGCUUCGGCCGUUGUGAGUUUCUGCGCGCCACGGCGCACUUGUGCCCGUGACGCGUGUAGUGUAUCCAGCUCCACGCGAUGACAUUUGAUUGCGCUCCUUGCGUUGUGAUCUGUCAGAGCGAAUGGUGCUGCCUCUACAGCCGCCAAGGCGUCCAAUCAAAGACAUGAAGUUAGGUCAGAGAACCCGCUGAAUUUAAGCAUAUAAGUAAGCGGAGGAAAAGAAACUAAAUAGGAUUCCCUUAGUAAUGGCGAAUGAACAGGGAUGAGCUCAGCAUGGAAAUCGGGGCCUCUGGCCUUGAAUUGUAGUCUCGAGAUGUAUCACCAACGGCGGCGCAGAUGUAAGCCUCUUGGAAAAGAGCAUCAGUGAGGGUGAGAGUCCCGUUUGUCAUCUGUAGUCCACCGUGCACGGUGUACGUUCUAAGAGUCACGUUCCUCGGAAUUGGAGCGCAAAGUGGGUGGUAAAUUUCAUCUCAAGCUAAAUAUUGGUUCGAGACCGAUAGCAAACAAGUACCGUGAGGGAAAGAUGAAAAGGACUUUGAAAAGAGAGUUAAAAGUGCCUGAAAUUGCUGAAAGGGAAGCGAAUGGAACCAGUGUAUCUUGGUGAGAUUGUUGCGUGCCAAUGUGAUUGCUUGCCGCAUCAACGCAAGUGUUGCGGUGGGUUUUGAUCUGGACGUGCGCAGUGGUUCUUUCCAUGUGUGUCAACGUCAGUUCAUGGUUGGGGAAAACUCCAAGGACCUGGUAACCUCCCCACGGGGGGGUGAAUGUGCUUGGCAGAACUCACCUGUGGACUGAAUCUCGCGUGUUGGGUUUCAGUGUCUUUGUCUCUGUGCUCACAGCCCCAAGCAUUCGCUAAGGCUGAGUGUGCGGCUGACUUUGGCAUCUUCUCAGCACAACGACGGUGACUAAAUGGUUCUUUUCGACCCGUCUUGAAACACGGACCAAGGAGUCUAACAUAUGUGCGAGUUCACGGGCGGGUAAACCUGCUUGCGCAAUGAAAGUGACUGCUGGGAUCUUUGCACCAGCAACCGACCAAUCAAUUGAGAGAGGUUUGAGUAUGAGCAUAUCUGUUAGGACCCGAAAGAUGGUGAACUAUGCGUGA